GGGAUUGCCCCAGUAACGGCGAGUGAAGCGGCAACAGCUCAAAUUUGAAAUCUGGCCCCCAGGGCCCGAGUUGUAAUUUGCAGAGGAUGCUUUUGGCGCGGUGCCUUCCGAGUUCCCUGGAACGGGACGCCAUAGAGGGUGAGAGCCCCGUCUGGUCGGACACCAAGCCAGUGUAAAGCUCCUUCGACGAGUCGAGUAGUUUGGGAAUGCUGCUCUAAAUGGGAGGUAUAUGUCUUCUAAAGCUAAAUACCGGCCAGAGACCGAUAGCGCACAAGUAGAGUGAUCGAAAGAUGAAAAGCACUUUGAAAAGAGGGUUAAACAGUACGUGAAAUUGUUGAAAGGGAAGCGUUUAUGACCAGACUUGUGCCCGGUGAAUCAUCCAGCGUUCUCGCUGGUGCACUUUGCCGGGCUCAGGCCAGCAUCAGUUCGUCGCGGGGGAUAAAAGCUUCGGGAACGUAGCUCCCUCGGGAGUGUUAUAGCCCGUUGCAUAAUACCCUGCGGUGGACUGAGGUUCGCGCUCCGCAAGGAUGCUGGCGUAAUGGUCAUCAGCGACCCGUCUUGAAACACGGACCAAGGAGUCGUCUUCGUAUGCGAGUGUUCGGGUGUAAAACCCCUACGCGUAAUGAAAGUGAACGCAGGUGAGAGCUUCGGCGCAUCAUCGACCGAUCCUGAUGUUCUCGGAUGGAUUUGAGUAAGAGCAUACGGGGCCGGACCCGAAAGAAGGUGAACUAUGCCUGUAUAGGGUGAAGCCAGAGGAAACUCUGGUGGAGGCUCGCAGCGGUUCUGACGUGCAAAUCGAUCGUCAAAUAUGGGCAUGGGGGCGAAAGACUAAUCGAACCUUCUAGUAGCUGGUUUCCGCCGAAGUUUCCCUCAGGAUAGCAGUGUUGAACUCAGUUUUAUGAGGUAAAGCGAAUGAUUAGGGACCCGGGGGCGCUCUUUAGCCUUCAUCCAUUCUCAAACUUUAAAUAUGUAAGAAGCCCUUGUUGCUUAAUUGAACGUGGGCAUUCGAAUGUAUCAACACUAGUGGGCCAUUUUUGGUAAGCAGAACUGGCGAUGCGGGAUGAACCGAACGCGAGGUUAAGGUGCCAGAGUAGACGCUCAUCAGACACCACAAAAGGCGUUAGUACAUCUUGACAGCAGGACGGUGGCCAUGGAAGUCGGAA
rnacentral:rRNA from 1 species